rnacentral:rRNA from 1 species
GCAAGUCGAGGGGUAACAUGAUAAAAGCUUGCUUUUAUUGAUGACGACCGGCGCACGGGUGCGUAACACGUAUGCAACCUACCUUUUACAGAGGGAUAGCCCAGAGAAAUUUGGAUUAAUACCUCAUAAUAUUUUUAACUCGCAUGAGUUUUAAAUUAAAACUUCGGUGGUAAAAGAUGGGCAUGCGUUCUAUUAGUUUGUUGGUGAGGUAACGGCUUACCAAGACUACGAUAGAUAGGGGUUCUGAGAGGAUAGUC